CUGAGUGCCGGUCCCUCGUGGACCGAACCUCCCACCCUUGUCUCUUGUAUACCCUGUUGCUUUGGCGGGCCCACUGGGAACCCCCAGUCGCCGAGGGGCACUGCGCCCCUGGGCCCGUGCCCGCCAGAGCGCCCUUGAACCCUAAUGAAGAUGGACUGUCUGAGCAUGAUUGAUAAUAAUCA
rnacentral:misc_RNA from 1 species